UAAGACCGAAUCAGACAGCAGUCGUUUGAAAACGUUGGUAUUGUUCAUAAAAAAAUGGUAAAAUGGUAAAAAUGACAAAGUUACGAUCGUUGGACGUAUUUUUGGUUCUUCCAGUUUUCAAACCGUGUCUUUAUUAAUAGAACACAGCCGUGUUAUUUUUUUAGAAAACGAAAGCAACUUGUGCGACAAUCUGAUAUUGGAUGAAUGUAUCUUUCGUCGGUGAAAUAGCAGCUGUAUUAAGAGGAAAAUAAAUAAAACGCGAAAUACCGUUACCGAUUGAUUUUGUCAAUUACUCGUCGAGAUAUUGCACCGUUCCAUAUUAAGCGCGCUGACCCAUAUUAGGUACAGUUGCCCUACGUUGUGCUUCGUUUCAACGUUCCGCGAGCAUUCCACGCCACUUUUUGCGGAUCUGAACCAGGAAGAACCGCAAAUACGUCGUCCACUCAUCGUGAAAGUUUAAAACCAACGAUUAUAAUCAUCUGGAAAUAAAAUCAAUCAUUAAUUUA